GCAACCCUUUCCCUUCCCUUCGUCAACCGAGGCUGACCCUAGGACCUGGCGAACGCAAUCGAAUAUUUGCGUUUAGGUAGGCACGUCGACGCGGAAAAUGCUAUCUUUGUCAAUUAAUUCAACCUGUUGUCGCCCGUCGUUCGUCGCUCGGACGACUAUUCCGCUCGGUUCCCGGUAUACGAUCGGGAAAAUUGGCGGUUUUGCGGCCGUUGUCUAUGGACGAGGGACUCUUCGCUCCCAUCUAUCUCUAUCUCUAUCUCACUCGCUAGCUCGCUCAAUCGGAUCAACACGCUUGUACAAUAUUUCUCUUCUCUUCGUUUGCAUGUUCGACACUUUUGGGAUUACUAGAGAUUGAUAUCGGCGACAUCUUUAAAACUGGGUCAAGAGAUUUUUCUUGAUUCAUUUGAAAUCAUGUUAAACGACUUUGAGAUAUCAAUUGCAUGAUAAAGUAUGCCUUCAUACCAAAUAUAUUGACUAUGGUUAUGUUUCAUUAAUUUUAUCGAUUCUCGAGCAAGUUACUUUUUCUUUUUUAUUAGAAAAAAAUAUCACAGGAAACGAGGAAAAAUUUUUACGCUGGGUUAACACCGAGAAGGAUGACUACGGAUGAAAUCUCGACGUCAUUAUUCUCGCCACCGAAUGAUUCCAUGCAUGUCCGAGCGACUCUCAGAUAGCAAAUAUAGCGAUUAUCAGAAUUUCCCAUGUGUCAUCGUUGUAAUCAUGUACCUGACGCAUACGCUCGUAUACGAUGAACUUCUCACGAGACGAAUUGAACGAACGAAAGGGGAAGAGGAGGAGAGAGGUGAACAGAAUGAGAGAGAGAGAGAGAGAAAUAGAGAGAGAGAGAGCGAGAGAAAGAGAGAGAGAUUGAGAUCGAAUACUCUAUCCUGAUCACGCGGAAUACCUCACCGUUGGCUCGUUUGCUCAGAAAAUUAACAUAUAAAUUAGGCUCGAGCUGCAAUCUCCAUCCCCACGGCGUUACCCUCCUCCCAGUCCUCGAUCUCACUCUCUCAAUUUUCCAUUUAUACGCUCGUAUGCGUAGGCCAUGUUCGAUUUCGUCCUACGAAAUGUUUUUCAAUUGUCCGGAAUAAUCAUCCGGGGCCGAGUGUGAACCCCAAAACCGGAAAUCGUUACUGGUUUGACCCUUUCGAGGGUCAAGUCAGUCACGCUGCUUGGUUUCUCGUGCUUUCGAAAGGAUAUGCUGUUUUUAAGACGGCUCUGCGAAAGGACGGUGUAAUGCUUCGGGAUUGCUUUUAGAGAGGAUUAAAUUUUAUAUGUUAUCGUGACAGGUAUAAAAGAAAGGAUUACAAGUGUUAAAGAAGUAAAGAAAAAAAGAAAAAAAAAAAAAGAGAAAAGAAAAAGAGAGAAUACAUUCGCGAAUUUGUUGGCUUUGUUUCUUUGCAAUGAUCAUUUGUGAUAAAGUCAAAUUCAAAUAUUUAUGAUGAAAAAUCAAGUGGAAAUAAUCGAGACAUCGAAUUGCAGCGGAUGAUAUUAUCUUUAUCACACUCCUUAUUAUUUUCAUCGAAUAAAUAACUUCAAUUUUCUAGUUAAAAAUAAAUCUCCCUUGUUCAUUGGAAAUAACAAAACUUUUCUUAACAAACACGUUUAAAGAGUUAUACGGAUAUAAGCAAUACAAUAGACCAAAUCAAAUAUUCUACAUAAAGAAACGAUGCAAAAGCGUUACCGAUUUAGAUAUUUUUGGAUUUAGUAUAAAAUCGACGGAAACGUUCGUAUGCGCUCUAGGAUUUGUCCUAAAAAGAAGGAAAAAAGGGGAACUCGACGGGCAUAACCCACCGAACGAGAAAAGGGCGUGCGUCGAAGAAGUAUAUCGGUAGGGUAGGUGCCGCUGGUACCGGCACCUAAUCAAGCAAUAACUAUUUGUCAGUUCCCCGGGCAACCUAAAUCCAAGCUAAUUCGACAUCCGUGUCGGACACAGAUUCGCUAUCGGGUAUCUCUUUCUAUCUGGACGACAGCAUAUUCGCAUUAGCCUGGCCCGCAACCCACGCUCGAUCGACUCCCUCGACCACCGUCAGCAAUCUCCCUCUCUCUUCUCUCCCUCCUCUAACUCUCUCCCUCUCUCUCUCUCUCUCUCUCUUUCUCUCUCUCUCUCUCUCUCUCUCUCUCUCUCUCUCUCUCUCCUGUUCACUCACUCAGCCAUCCCUCCGACCUUCCACGGAUCCUUCUCCCUUUUCUCCCGUCAGUCGAGCACCUUCUCUUUCUCUUCCAAGUCUCGUCGACUAAGUAUGCUAUAUACCCACGCGCAGCAUCACACCAUAGAAGCAGAUCUCAACACGAUUAGGGCGGUCCUCAAUUCGACGUUUCGUCGAUUCGGUCCUUUCUUUACUCGAACGAUCUGCUUUUAUACGAAAUCUCACCGAAUCAUCCCGUUUUUCUUACCCCGUACGAAACCCCGACGACGACGACGUAACUCUGAUGACCAACCCUUUUACAUGUACGUUGAGGUUUACCUGUGUACAUGUGUGCAUGGAUGUGUAAGUGGAGUUCUCUCUUGAAGAUCGUACGCGAACGAUGCUUUCGAAGAACAGAUUUUAUCAUUCUCCUUCUUCAAGAGAAAAUCGCUUUCCGAUCCACCACUUUUUCUGUCCGCGAGUUUGUCAGCUAACUUACGAUAAACUCUCCCUUCCCUUUUUCUCUUUAUUGCCUUGGAUCAACCAGGGGAAAUGUUCUUCCAGGAGAAAUGACGAUUAGGAACCCUCAAGGCGUUCCUUUCAUUUUCUGGUUCAAGAAAAUUGUUUGUUAUAAUGAAUAAUAUGAUCAGGUCAAUUUCUUUGUCUUUAUUCUUUCCGUAACAGAAUGAUUAGUUUGAUUAUACAUACGUAAUUAUUGUACAUACGUAUUAUACAAGAUCACAUUAAAAAUCUAUUAAAAUAAUUUUUCAAUUACAAUCUUUAUAAAUUUCGUUCCUUAUAGUUAGAAAUCGAUUUCAAUGAAUUUUCAAAUCCACCAAAUUCACAAUUUCUAUGAAUGAUUGUGGUACGAAAUGUAAAAUAAAAAAUACCUAGUCGCCAAAGAUAAAAGCCGAUAUCGUCGAACGCUACAGCUAAUACCAUCAUGUUUGAAAUCCAUCAAGGCUUUCAAUCCUUUAUCUUAACGCGGUCUGUCAAGACCUUAUCUAAAGUGAUUCUCACUUUCAAAGGUAGGAAGAAGAGAAGAAAAGAGAAUACCGAUAACACGAAGUAUGGGGAAUUUAAGAAGCAAGAAAAUAGACAGUGAUGACUGCGACGGAGGAUAAAAGAAUACAAUAAAAAAAAAAAAAAUAAAUAAAUAAAUAAAAAAAAAAAAAUGAAAAAAAAGAAAUAAAAAAAAAAAGAUAAAAAAAAAAUGAUAGAAAGAAAAAAGAGAAAGAAACACGACCGAAAAGUAAAAGGAUUAUAAAUAUUACCAAAGAUUAUCGCUCAAUUAGUACGAAAUAUCCUGCGAGUUAUCUAGAGAGGCACGCGAGCGUGAAGAAAAGCCCUAAAAGGAUUUCAGCCGGAGAGAGAAAAAGGCUCCGAUACGAAAUUUUGUACAAGAGGAGGACAAAAGGGAACCAAUUGGGUGACGAUGAAAUGGAGAAAGAAGGAGGAUGAAGAUAAGAAGCUACUCUUCCUCUUCGAUUCGAUGAUGUACUUUAAAAACUGGUUUCUUUUUAACGAGACAUCUCUUUCUUUUUUAACAGAUUGAUGGUAACACUAGUUACAAACGAAUAAAACAAAGACCAAAAUAGUCCGCGUGAAGAUGGUCAAAAUGUUUGAAGCAAUACCAUAACUCACGUAUAUAAAUAGACAAUGAAUGCGAAGAACGUUAGUGGAUGUCCUGGGUGGGUUCAAUUAAGGCCCCAUUACACUUUUACACAGGCAAUUUUAAAGCUCGCAGCUGGUCGCGAAGUCGGGUAUUAUUUAUCGGUUGACUUACGCCGAGCUCAUUUACAGGAUAAAAAGAAGGUCAGGAGUAAGAGAAGGGACAGAAGAUGGCGCUGGUGAUUACCAGUAACGUCGGCAAACGGGAUUGGUCGAUCUACGGUAAAUCUACGUCUCGAUUGGUCAACACGUGACUGUGGUAGGAUUCCUUUCCUUUGAAACGGUCAGGCGCCGACGGCACGACGAGAGAUGAUAGAAUAUCUUAUUAGUCGGACAAUGGGCAAUCAGAGACGCCAUACAGCCUCUCUGUUAGCGGUCCAGUCUCUCUCUCUCUCUCUCUCUCUCUCUCUCUCUCUUUCUCUCUUUCCCUCUCUUUCUUAUUCUCUCUUCUUCUUCUUAGUCCAUACAUCUGUCUGUCCUACGUACGCUUAGUGUUCGUGGUUAUCCAAGGUUACCUCCCGAGUCAACUUCUUUAACUCUCUUCUCUUUCUUUACUUUCUUCUUUUGUCUUUUUAAUCAAUGAUAAACAAAAACAAAAAAAAAAAAAAAUACGCAAAAAAUUAUUACAGUUCCUUUUUUCUCAAUUUUCAUUUUAUAGAUUUCCUUAGGAUAAUUAUACAACGAUAUAAAAAUGUUUCCAAUGAUAUUCAGUAAUUUGCAAUAAAAAAAUAAUAUCGUUAUUAAAUAGAUUAUCGUUCAUAUUUAUCGCAAAUAGCAAAGUGUCGUAUAAAUAAGGAAAAAUAAGGAGGAAGGAAGAAGACAAAUCGUUAUUCAUCUUUACCUUUCUUCUCUUAUCACAUCGUUCGACAUUAUCAAGAACUACUUACGAAUCGAAGCUUUGAUACUGGACAUCGAUAAGCAUUCCCUUCUGGGAUACUUAUCCAGUAAAGGAUCUUGACGAUCAUACGGAGGGAUAAUACGACAUAAAAAAGCAAGAAGAAGAAUCCUUGUGAAUCAGAAGAAAAGCCAAAAAUCCCUUUGGGUGUUCGAAGAUCCAGCCGGCGAUAUAAAAGAAGAGCCGUCAGACGAAAAGUCGUGAAAGACAGUAUAUCUCUACCGUGGUCUGGAUUUACCAAGUUACUGUCCUCUCACUGUCUUCUUCUAUUUUCUUACUCUAUCUAUCUUUCUCCCUUCUUUCCCACCAAAUAGUUCUUUGGUUACGAAUCCGACAUACAAUCGGAGGUAAUAAUGAUAAUUCGACGGAGGAAGACGAAAUCGGGUGAUUUACUCGCACGGUGAGGAAUCUCCUGGAGUUCAGAGGGCAGCGCCCUUGCUGCGCGUUAACUCACCCCCGCUGGGCGCACAGCAACAUGCGAUGCUGCUAGGGUUGAUGAAUGGAUUCUACGUAACGCGUGCGUGCGUCCGCGCGCGCGCGCGUGCUCGUUCAAAGAGCGCGUCGAAAAUCGGACGGAUUUUCGCGCAAUGGAUAAAAGAACGUACCUCUGUGAUUCAAAUUUUAUCAUGAAUAUUAACCCCAAUAAAAUAUCCGGAAAAGAGAAGUUAAACCAACAACGAUGAACUUACGUGAAAAUAUACAAGAAUUUUUCAAUGACCAUAUCAUUACAAAAUUGUUUUUCAUUUGUUAUUAUUUUAUAGAAAAAUUUAUCUAUUCUUCGUGAUUACUCAAUGAGAUAUUCAUUUAAUUACGAUCGAUCAUCAUUCCAAAAGGAGUUUCACAGACUUUCGGAAAGUUUCGUACACUUCGUAUAAAUGUCUCGAUUUGGAUAGGAACGUUUGAAAUACCGUUAACGCAUUAUUGUCCGGUCUAAGUCGCGUAUAAUAUUACGCCUUCUAUAUACCUUGAAAUGCAAUAAAUACGUCACACGAUAAUGGACUCACACGCAAACCUUAACAUUACAUCAUGAUAAAAAUAGUUUCUCCUUGAAAGUGGUUCGAAGGAUCGCUCGAACUAAAAGUUACGAUCCCUUGUAAGGGAUAUUGAGCUACGAGUGACGAGAGUUGUUUUCGAGGGUGAAUGUAUUUUGGAUGUUUAUUUUUUAUCGAGACGACGUUUCAGUAUUUUUAAUCUCACCAUAAUUUGUUAUAAUGAUAUUGAAGGAGUAUUGAUGAAUUUGUCAUUGAGAUAUUUGUCAAUUGUCAAAUUGCGUUUUAAUGAAUGAACAAGGAAUAAGAAGAAAAAUAGAGGAAAGAAAGAGAAAGCAAAAGAAUAGUAGAAAGCAAAUUGGCUUGCUAGCUGACAAAGACAGACAGACAGGUCUGAGCAAAAGCGAAGAGGGCAUCGUGUUUGAACUCUAAGAGGACUUUCAAUGCUCUUUCCCAAUGAGAAAUAAAAAGAUCAAGCUGCGAAUUUGCCGAUGGAAGCCCAGCUUGAUUUAUUAAUUCGAUUAAACCUUAUAAGCGGUGUACCGAUGUUUAAUCUUACUUGAGCGCGAAGCAACCAUUUUUACAUAGUGCCUACUCUCACGCGAGCCACUUCGCGCUACUCGAUUGUUCUUGCUAUGGAUGAUUCUCAUGAGAGAGUUCGACUCUAUUAUUAUGCUCUCCCUUUUUAUUUCGUUUUCGCAACCCGUCGAUUUAUUUUACGAUCAUCGCCGUACAAGUACGUUUCAAACAAUCCUUUUAACGAUAUGCGAUGGUUUCUUAUUAAAAAUUUCUAAAUUAGCUUGAAUUUCUAUUCUUUCAUAAGUAAUUAGAACCUUAAGAAAUAAAUUUUUGA